rnacentral:snRNA from 1 species
ACUGCUUCUCAGCCUUUUGGCUAAGAUCAAGUGUAGUAUCUGUUCUUAGGAGUCUAAUAUCUGAAACGCCCUCAAUCUAAGGACAAUAUAUUCAAUGGAUUUUUGGAGCGGGGAGAUGGGAUAGGAACUUGUUCCGUCCACUCCGCUCAUCGAUCUGGUCUUUCUUUU